rnacentral:lncRNA from 1 species
UUUUUUUUUUCCUUUUUCCAUGCAAUUCAUAGUUUAAAAUUGUAUCUUUUUUUCCCCAAACCCUUCAAAACUGUCCCAGUCAAUUUCUCGGCUAUAAUACGGCAGGAUGGUCACUGAUACAUAAAUGCGUAAAUCUCACUUUCCUUUCAGCUGACGUAACUUUUUAUGCACGGAGAGCGCAUUGUGCUUUUCAUUCAGUGUCCUUACUCUUUGCUCCCCCAACAAUUCUUUGUUACGAUCUGUGAAAACCUCCCCUUUACUUCAACGUCAGUUUGAGUCCCCCCCUCCAACCUCUUCUAUGACGCCUUUACUGGUUGACUUUAAUUACAGGACAGUCCCUUCCUUUAAGCUAUGAGAACAAUCAACUGAAUUAUUAUUCACAAGGAUGAGCAUCUUGGAUAAUAGCGAUAUAUUUAUGUCUCAAAACCAGUAAAUCGGAGCUCCCAUUGUGGCUCAGUGGUUAACGAAUCCGACUAGGAACCAUGAGGUUGCAGGUUCCAUCCCUGGCCUCGCUCAGUGGGUUAAGGGUCCAGCGUUGCCUGAGCUGUGGUGUAGGUCACAGACACGGCUGGUUUCCCCAGUUGCUGUGGCUCCGGUAUAGGCCAGUGGAUAUAGCUCCACUUAGACCCCUAGCCUGGGAACCUCCAUAUGCCAUGGGAGAGGCCCAAGAAAAGGCAAAAAAAAAAACCACCUGUAAACCAUAAAACUUUUUCAAGUUUAUUAUCAUCCUGAUGUGUACAACUGUAUGUCUUUCUGGCCACAGGUCUGUGCAGCAAGCAUUCACCAAAUGUUUUACAGAAUCAGUGAAGGAGCUCCCGGCGUCCAGGGACAUUAAUGUGAAGGGCGGUUUGGAUUAAACACACAAAAAAGGAGCAGCAUGGAACAGUGGGUGCUCAACUGUUCACUCAAUUGAGUUGUUUUCGUAAUUGAAAUUUCUUAAAUUGGCUUGUGUAAUAAGUGUGGUGAAACUGACUCAGAACUUGUUAGGUCCCCUGCUUAUUAGGUCAACUGGGCAGAACUGACACGCUAAUAUAUGUAUUUCCAAAGGAAUCUCUUGAAAUUCAGUUGAACUAUGAUUGAUGAAAAGGAAGGAUGAAGGGGGUUAUAAUUAGAUUGCUUUGCAUUCUGAAAUUAUGUUUCCAAAAUUCAAAGGCAUAAAUAUCGAUGCAGAUCUGGGGAUGUGACUACACGAUGCCAAAAAACGGCAACAGAAAGUGGAAAGUGUGCUCAAAGACUCACACGCUCUAUUUCUACUGAAUGAACUACCUUUAAUCUCCCCCUGUUAAACCGGAUGGAUGAAUUGUGGCAUUAUAUUUAUAAAUCAGAAUUGUUAAAAUUAAGUCUUAUACUUACUCUGAAGAAUCUUGUCCCUUAAAAGAAGGUCCGAGCAAAACUCCAAUCCUAAAUGGCAAAGGGAUUAAUUGAAUGUGAACAUAUCCAUCAAUUACAUGGAUGUUUGAAAACAGCAAGCGAAGUGAUUUCUUGUGAGCUAAAUAGCAACUAAUUUUUUUCAUUUUCUCUGAUCAUGAGAGUUUAAGGGCACUAUAAUUUUAUAUGCAACACAAAAAUUAAAUAAAACUAAUUCUAUUUAAUUUAUAAAUUUAUAAUUCUACAAAUAGAACUUAAUUUUGAUACAUGAUAUAAAUCUUUACUUAAAAUUAAAGAUACAAUGCUAUUUCUCAAAGAUGGAAAAAAGCUGAAAAUAACCAUAUAUGUAUUUAAAAUUUUUGAUUUAGCUUCUUUGUUAAAGUUUUUAUUUGGGCCUACCACACCAGUGCUAAGAAUACCAACAAAACCACUGCCAUUGAGGAGCAGAAUUGAUUGUAAAAAUAACUAGAGUAUUUUCCGUGUUCUACUUAAAAGAGUCAUCUUUUAACCCCAUACCUUAAAAAUGAUUAACUUUCUAACUUGGAAACUAAAUACGAUUUUAACUCAAAAUUAAGAACUCAGGGAAAUUAAUUUUUUUAUCACUCUUUAAAUGUGUCAGUAGGAUUGGCCAAAUAAAACUUUAAUCCUAGACCUGGAAAUUAGACUAAAUUAUUAUUUGAGAAAAUCAAACCUAUCACCAAAGUUAUUGAUCUACUAGCUUUGUGUAGACAUGGCCAAAGACUAAUUUCAUCCAUUAAACUAUUUAGAGCGGUUUCUCUUGAAAACAUCUUGAUUUCCUGAGUUUUGUCCUUGAGAGCAGCUGAGACUUAUUGGACUGUCACAGCCAAAUUACCUGGAGCAGAAGGUAUUUUUAAACACAUGCUUUCCCAAAGUAGGCAGCUGCUCACUGCAUGAUUUCUUUGGGCACUGCUGUGCUCAGCAGUUAACUUUCUUUCCUUGAAGGUACCAGGAUAAGGAAGAUAACCUCAACACAUUGUUUUUCUGUAAUUUUUACGAUGUUCUCAGUACUAUAAAAGGGCUGAUAUUUGACAGCAAAGAAAGUAUGUAUUAAAAAAAAAAACCUUGUAAGAAUUUGAAGUUACUUUAUAUAGGGGAAAUAUUAACAACAAAUCUUCAAAAUUUCUCUAGUGUUUUUCUCAAGCAUAGCAAAGUAAAUCUAUGCUGUCUCUACAGAGAAAGGAAACUGCUGCCUGUAACAUUUGUUCUUUUUUGUUUGUUUGAUCACUUGUUUUUAAAUAUCAGCUU